ACUCUAGUUUUAAAAAGCAUCUCAUCUCUUUUAUCACUGAGACCCCUAUUAUCUGACCCUAGGAUGACUGUGCAGAUCUCCAAACAGCUUUUCUGCCUUCUCUCCUUUCUCUUCCUCUCAACCAGGAGGACAGACAAGUGUGAACUCAGCUACCGGCAGCAUAAAUUUAAAAUCCAGACACCCAAGCAGAAGACAUAGGAUGACCUCUCUGACCUUCUGCGAUGGUUAAAACCUCUUAACCCCUCUUCUCCCAAAAUCAUUAACAUUCACUAGGUUAGUACUAUCUUCAAAACACUGUGUUAGGCAUGGUGGAACAGACCCUAGUAGGGAAAGCCAGACCUGUGUGAAUACAAAGAUAACUGACUCAUUAGCUACCAGAUGGUGAAGCUAGUGUCUCAUAGGUCUCUGUAUUUGGCAGGGUGCCUGGUGCUUGUUAAGUGUGGAAUGAAUGAGUGGUGUCACCAAAUAGUUUCCUGAAACCGACCAUUCCAACAAAGCCUUCUAGAACUCCAUCACUGUACUGUUCUGCACACUGGGGACUCCACGGAGCACACAGCAGACAAGUUUUUGCCCAUGUGGAGCUUCUAGUGGAAGGGAGAUGGGGUGUUGGACCAUAACCUUGAGAACAGAAACCAAAGAUGAUUCCAGUCUGUGAUAUGUAAAAAGAGAGGAUGCCAGGGAACAGAAAGUGAGUCAUGGAGGGCUACUCUGGAGAGAAUGGCAGAGAAGGCCUCUGAUGAGGAGACGCUACACUGAACUCUGAAGGAUGAAAAGGGCCUGAAGGGCUCCAUUCAAGAUCUGAGUGCCUCUGAAAGCCUUCUCCUGCAUGCUCCUCUUGCUAUAAGGCUGGCCUCGGUUAAUCACAGAGGCCCACUAUGCCAGAGGCUCUCUGUGGGAAGAUGCAUUGUAUUCCUGUCUUUGAGACUGUGUUCUCACAUCACUCCCCUGACCUUCAUGGAUGUUGGUUCUUCUCCAUGAGUCUGGAUCAAGGCCCACUUUCUCCCUGAAGCCUCCCCAGAUAUGCCAACCAUCCAGCACUUGGGCUAUGCUGCUCCACCAUGUGUGCACACUCUUGUGCCUUGCCUCUUUGAGAUACUGUGAGCUCUUCAAGGUCAAGAGACCAUGUCGUGUACCUUUCCAUAAUCCUGCCAUCUGGUCCAUUGUAGUCAUUCAAUAAAUGUUGAAUAGACAUG